rnacentral:lncRNA from 1 species
CGUGCCGCUGCCCCAGCCGCCGUGAUAUUUAGACAGGGCUUGUUUGCCAUGUGAUUACUUUGGGGCCUGGGAUGAACUCUACCAACACCUGAGCUUGUCCGCUUUGCUCCAAAGCUUGUUUUUAAUACACUCGCUGUCAGCUAAGCCGGCUCCCUCCAGCUGUGGGGUCCGGUCCCCUCCUGGGCCAGAGGGAGGACUAAGCCCAGGUUUUCCUCAGGAAGACAGAUGCCUCCUCACUUUCCACACUGAGGGCAGGUCCCAGGAGGCUGGAAGGCUCCAUCGUCCCCACCCAGCCCCCAGGGGACCUUCCUUCUGCCCCGCCCCCGCCCCACAGGUCCCCAGCAGCGGCACCUUUCUGCGUGUGUGUGACCGAUUCGUUCACGUCGACUCCUCCCCUGGACAGAGGCUUCUGGAAAACUAAAGUUGGCCCCUUGGUUCCCCCCUUGCCAGGCAGGGCUGGCCCUCAGAGCCUGGUGGAUGAACAGACCAGGAGGGAAGUUUGGGAACACCCGGCUCAGAGAUGAGAAGAGAGGGUGGAUCAGCCGCCACAUGGCAAAGCCAUGGGCCAGCUCUCCCUGCCACGGCCAGUGGACCCGGGACUUGGGUUCUCCAGCAUGGGCCCAGGCGGCUCGGAGCAGGGGCUGCUUCCCUCCGGCCCUUUCCCCGAAGCCCGCUCCCUUCUCCACCCCCGUCCCUGCCCACUCCCCGCAGGCCGGGGUGCACUUGGAGCCCCGAGGACCUCCGAGGCUGUCGCCACCCUCCUCUGUUCUGACUGCUUUCUAUUACUGGGCUUGUAAAAUGAUUAUUG